rnacentral:tRNA from 1 species
GCCGGAGUGGCGGAAUGGCAGACGCGCUAGACUCAAAAUCUGGUUCCCUCUGGGAGUAUGGGUUCAAGUCCCAUCUCCGGUACCA